CUUGCCUUGCUUUGCUUGUCACACGGAGGAUCAGAGCUCACUUUGUAAACGUGGUGAGGAUGAUACCAUGGAGGGCGUGAGGAUGAUACCAUGGAGGGCGUGAGGAUGAUACCACAGAGGGUGUGAGGAUGAAGAUGCAGGACACUGGGCACUGGAGUCUGGAGAGCGGGAGGAGACUCAUCCUUUGAAGGAUCGUGAGCAUGGCUUGCAGGAAGUGUCGGAGGAUGAUUCGAAGGUAGAUAUGACUAGCAAGGUCAGGGGAACCAGGUGCCGGCUGGGGCACCCUUGGCCCUGGGAGAAACUGGUAUAACUAGCUCCAGACCUGGGCAGUCCCGUGGCCACACUAUCUUGAUUCCCAGGGCUCCUGCUCCUGCAGCUGGGCUCCCCUGUCCCCCUGGAUGGGUCUCUUUCAUCCUGGGUUAUUUCAAACGCAAAGCCUAGCUCCAUCUCUGGUUUCUAAAAUAUGUGCGCACGUGAAGCAUUUUGAAUGCAUUUGCUUAUUACAAAUUUGUGACUGGAGGGGAAGGCAUAGACUACACCCCCUCACUGGCUGUUCUACACUUCCCCACGGCCUCCUUCUCUGGAGGAAGCGGCCUUCUAUCCCACCUCAUGCACACUGCUUCUACCUGCUUCCUGCUACAAAGUCUUUGUGCCAGCUGGGCCUGCACCCUUGGGGUGUUGGCUUUUGUCGCCACAUGGGUUCCCACUUUCAGAUAAAUAUUGCAUUUUUCUUCCUAAGAAAAAUUCUGAUGGAUGUAAAUUUCUUCCUCAUGUUCCACAGGUAUCCC
rnacentral:lncRNA from 10 species